AUUCUCAAAUUCUGAAAUCUUAAAUUUAAGACAUGAAUCAAAUAACAAUUACAUUUUUCGAGCGUAAGUGCUACAAAUGGAGCACGUACUUUUUUUUAAUUACUGCAAAGUUUGAACACUAAAGGCGAUCAUAAUUUAGAUUUUUUUAAAGUUUUUUUCAAUGUAGAUAGUAUAAAAAAUGAUAAAAUGACGAUAUGAACACAUAUCCAUACCACACGCUCAAUUCGUUUUUAGCAAGACAAAUAAUGAUAGCAAAAUUUGUAAGGUUUAUGUUAAUGCGUUUUAUGU
rnacentral:lncRNA from 1 species